rnacentral:rRNA from 1 species
CAGCCGCCACGGUAAUACGGAGGAUCCAAGCGUUAUCCGGAAUCAUUGGGUUUAAAGGGUCCGUAGGCGGUCUUGUAAGUCAGUGGUGAAAGCCCAUCGCUCAACGGUGGAACGGCCAUUGAUACUGCAGGACUUGAAUUAUUGGGAAGUAACUAGAAUAUGUAGUGUAGCGGUGAAAUGCUUAGAGAUUACAUGGAAUACCAAUUGCGAAGGCAGGUUACUACCAAUUGAUUGACGCUGAUGGACGAAAGCGUGGGUAGCGAACAGGAUUAGAUACCCGCGUAGUCCCUGUCUCUUAUAC